rnacentral:rRNA from 1 species
UGAGGAAUCUUGCGCAAUGGGGGCAACCCUGACGCAGCAACGCCGCGUGAGUGAUGAAGGCCUUCGGGUCGUAAAGCUCUGUCAGGCGGAAAGAAUGUUUCCAGGGUGAACAAUCCUGGAGAUUGACGGUACCGCCAGAGGAAGCACCGGCUAACUCCGUGCCAGCAGCCGCGGUAAUACGGAGGGUGCUAGCGUUGUUCGGAAUUAUUGGGCGUAAAGAGCGUGUAGGCGGCCUCGUAAGUCAGAUGUGAAAGCCCUUGGCUUAACCAAGGAAGUGCAUUUGAAACUGCCUGGCUUGAGUACGGGAGGGGAAAGCGGAAUUCCCGGUGUAGAGGUGAAAUUCGUAGAUAUCGGGAGGAACACCGGUGGCGAAGGCGGCUUUCUGGACCGAUACUGACGC